rnacentral:lncRNA from 1 species
UAUUUUGUCAUUGCUCCAAGUUGUAAUUGCUUUAAAGAAUACAUAUUUAUUGCCAUUUGGUGUAAACUAUUGAGAUAAAUCAGCAAACUUUCUCAUCUUAGGACACUCAUCAUCGUAUUGCUAAGGUAAAUCAUACUUUAUUUCACUGACUCAAGGCAGUAUAUGAUAUGGGGACUGAGUUCUACAUAAUUAGCAACAGAAUUGUACUAGCUGAAAAUUUUCUUCUAUCCAGUUUCUGUUAGAUAUGUCUUUAAGGAGGUAAAAUUUUGGGGGUUUAUUUAUUUAUUUAUUUAUUUAUUAUUUAGAAUGCUGUCUUUAGACAUUUGAACUAUGUAAUCUUACUUAAUAUCUGUAAACAUUAAUAUGCUGUUAUUUACUAUUGUGCUUGGAGAUAUGAGUGUUAAUUCCUGUUAUCAAAGUUUGAGUUUAUUGUUAACUUAUAAAUUAACUAUAACAGUCCCAGAAUAAUAUCUAUUAAAGUGCUGUAAUAUGCCUUGUUAUUCAAUUAUUUCAAUUAAUUAAUUUUGUGGUGUUGGGCAUCAAAACUAAAGCCAUGCAUAAACUCCACCCCUGAGGUACAUCACUAAAUCCUGAGUAGAUUUGUCUAAUGUUGCUUUUUAGGGCAUCUUGAAGACCUUCCUGAGUUUUGUUUCCAUCUCACCAUCUCCUAAGCUCCUUAUGAAAAGGUGCUCUGACUUAAUCAGCUUUAGAGAUGUAAGCAUUAGAAGUGCAUGCAAGAGAAAUAAUAGCCCCUCCAAAAACCAUCUCAUCACAUCACUAUUUAGGACCCGGCCUCUUUCCACACAUAAUGUGUACUAUCAGACGUUAUUUGUACACACAGCAGUUCUAUUACUUCUGGAAGAAGUGUUGCUAGGCUUCAAAUAACCAAGGCAUCAUUCUUGUCUAAAUGUGAAACCAUUUGAGACAGUGUGACAAAUCUAGCUUUAAGAGAUUGUAAUACAGACAGGAGUUCUAAAUUGUAACUUACAACAGUAGUAAAUGCUGUUCAGGUGAGAAUAUGGACAGAAAAUCUCAUAAUGCUGAACAAAGCCUUGCUCCUGAGCUCUCCUUCUGAAGGGAAAGAAGUCCUUAUUUUGUAUCUAGGAAGUUAUGAAUUUCAGAAAUAAAGUUACUAAUGUAAGAAAAUGCACUAAGGGAUAACACAUGUAAAAUCAGGAUUUUUCCCAUAUUGCAUAACGAAUCUUUAAUAAAAAUUCAUGAUGGUUAUAUGAGAGAUACACAGUUUAACUCCAGUGUUAAUAAGCUUAUGGUAGAUGAAAAUAUAAUCAAAUCAGAGAAGCACAAAAUGCAAUAUUGUAGACUAAAUAUUUACAUUAACAGCUUUAUAGAUAUACAUGUAUAAAUUACACAGGAAAGCUACAAGUAAUAAAAACAGUGUUUAU